GACGAACGCUGGCGGCGUGCCUAAUACAUGCAAGUAGAACGCACGGUUUAUACCGUAGCUUGCUACACCAUAGACUGUGAGUUGCGAACGGGUGAGUAACGCGUAGGUAACCUGCCUGGUAGCGGGGGAUAACUAUUGGAUACGAUAGCUAAUACCGCAUAAUAUUAAUUAUUGCAUGAUAAUUAAUUGAAAGGUGCAAUUGCACCACUACCAGAUGGACCUGCGUUGUAUUAGCUAGUAGGUGAGGUAACGGCUCACCUAGGCGACGAUACAUAGCCGACCUGAGAGGGUGAUCGGCCACACUGGGACUGAGAAACGGCCCAGACUCCUACGGGAGGCAGCAGUAGGGAAUCUUCGGCAAUGGACGAAAGUCUGACCGAGCAACGCCGCGUGAGUGAAGAAGGUUUUCGGAUCGUAAAGCUCUGUUGUAAGAGAAGAACGGGUGUGAGAGUGGAAAGUUCACACUGUGACGGUAUCUUACCAGAAAGGGACGGCCAACUACGUG
rnacentral:rRNA from 1 species